GAUGAACGCUGGCGGCGUGCCUAAUACAUGCAAGUCGAGCGAACAGAUGAGGAGCUUGCUCCUCUGACGUUAGCGGCGGACGGGUGAGUAACACGUGGAUAACCUACCUAUAAGACUGGGAUAACUUCGGGAAACCGGAGCUAAUACCGGAUAAUAUAUUGAACCGCAUGGUUCAAUAGUGAAAGACGGUUUUGCUGUCACUUAUAGAUGGAUCCGCGCCGCAUUAGCUAGUUGGUAAGGUAACGGCUUAACAAGGCAACGAUGCGUAGCCGACCUGAGAGGGUGAUCGGCCACACUGGAACUGAGACACGGUCCAGACUCCGACGGGAGGCAGCAGUAGGGAAUCUUCCGCAAUGGGCGAAAGCCUGACGGAGCAACGCCGCGUGAGUGAUGAAGGUCUUCGGAUCGUAAAACUCUGUUAUUAGGGAAGAACAAAUGUGUAAGUAACUAUGCACGUCUUGACGGUACCUAAUCAGAAAGCCACGGCUAACUACGUG
rnacentral:rRNA from 1 species